UGAUCCAGCAAUGCCGCGUGUGUGAAGAAGGCCUUCGGGUUGUAAAGCACUUUUGUCCGGAAAGAAAACCUCCGUCCUAAUACGGUGGGGGGAUGACGGUACCGGAAGAAUAAGCACCGGCUAACUACGUGCCAGCAGCCGCGGUAAUACGUAGGGUGCAAGCGUUAAUCGGAAUUACUGGGCGUAAAGCGUGCGCAGGCGGUUCGCUAAGACCGAUGUGAAAUCCCCGGGCUUAACCUGGGAACUGCAUUGGUGACUGGCGGGCUAGAGUAUGGCAGAGGGGGGUAGAAUUCCACGUGUAGCAGUGAAAUGCGUAGAGAUGUGGAGGAAUACCGAUGGCGAAGGCAGCCCCCUGGGCCAAUACUGACGCUCAUGCACGAAAGCGUGGGGAGCAAACAGGAUUAGAUACCCUGGUAGUCCACGCCCUAAACGAUGUCAACUAGUUGUCGGGUCUUCAUUGACUUGGUAACGAAGCUAACGCGUGAAGUUGACCGCCUGGGGAGUACGGUCGCAAGAUUAAAACUCAAAGGAAUUGACGGGGACCCGCACAAGCGGUGGAUGAUGUGGAUUAAUUCGAUGCAACGCGAAAAACCUUACCUACCCUUGACAUGUACGGAACCUUGCUGAGAGGUGAGGGUGCCCGAAAGGGAGCCGUAACACAGGUGCUGCAUGGGCUGUCGUCAGCUCGUGUCGUGAGAUGUUGGGUUAAGUCCCGCAACGAGCGCAACCCUUGUCCCUAGUUGCUACGCAAGAGCACUCUAAGGAGACUGCCGGUGACAAACCGGAGGAAGGUGGGGAU
rnacentral:rRNA from 1 species